rnacentral:ncRNA from 1 species
AAAAUGUUUUAUUUUAGCAUAAAAAUUUGUUUAUAAUUUAUUUUACAUGUAAAUUUUAGUAAGAGUUUUGAAUUAUUUAAAUAAUAAUUUAUUUAAUUUUAUUCGCAGUGAUUAAUAUUAAUUAUUAAAGAAAUUUAGAAUUAGUGAUAUUAUUUAAUAUUAGCAAAAUUUGUGCCAGCUGCUGCGGUUAGACAAAAAAUAUAAAUGAAUUAGGUUAGAUUAUAAUUAAAUUGAAUGUUUAUAUAAUAAAAUUAAGUUUAUUAGGUGAAAUUUUAAAUUUAAUAAAUUUUAUAAGUUAAAAUAUUGAAAUUAUGAAAUUUUAUAACUAAACUAGGAUUAGAUACCCUAUUAUUUAAAAUGUAAAUUAUUAAUCUAGAAUAGUAUUAGUUAUGUUCUUGAAAUUUAAAAAAUUUGGCGGUAUUUUAGUCUAUUCAGAGGAACCUGUUUUAUAAUUGAUAAUCCACGUUGGACCUUACUUAAUUUUGUUUAGUUUGUAUACCGCCGUCAUCAGAAUGUCUUUAAAAAGGAAUAAUUUUCUUAAAUUUUUAAUAUAAAUUAUGUCAGGUCAAGGUGCAGCUUAUGGUUAAGUAAAAAUGGGUUACAAUAAAUUUAUUUUUGGAUGAAAAAUUGAAAUUAUUUUUUUGAAAUUGGAUUUGAUAGUAAAAUAAUAAAGAAAAGUUAUUUGAUUUUAGCUCUAAAAUAUGCACAUAUCGCCCGUCGCUCUCGUUAUUAAGAUGAGAUAAGUCGUAACAUAGUAGAUGUACCGGAAGGUGUAUCUAGAAAGAC